rnacentral:lncRNA from 1 species
AAAUUUUGAAGUUAUGCGUAAAUACUUUUUGUAACGUAAAAAUAAAAUAAAUUCAUUCAUAUUGUAACACAAUAAACUAGAGUAUUUAAAUUAAUUUAAAUUUACAAUAUCAAGUGAGCCCACAAUAAUCAAAAUUAAAGAAGUUGUGAACCUACAGUUUGGAAGACGCAAAUCUAAUGGAAAUCCCCGAUGGAACCAACUAUCUACAGCCUACUUUGAGCCUAAAAUGGGUGGAAAGAAGGGUGGUGAGAUUAUAAAAUCCCAAUGAGUAAACAAACAUCAUUUAAAUCAAUUAAAGCCGAGUAAAAUGAGACAAUUAAAAUAUCCCAUCAUUUUAAAUAUUUCACAGUUUGAAAAUUUAUCCCAACCCAUGCAAACGGUUGUAUUUCAUUUAAUUUCUCAUUAAGGCUUAUGACUUCCAUAAAUAUUUGGCUCAUGCCAUCAAAUAGUACUCGAUGACACCUUGAUCAGAGGCGUACACUCGAGCCCGCCAAGGCUGUUAAAAUUUCGUAUACACGUAAAACAUAUUUUUAGUUUGAGAAAAACACAACCGUUCCUUUGCGUUAACGGAGUUCAUCAUCACGAGGUGGUUCGGUGUGACGUGAACUUUAUCCAUACCUGAGGAGAUACCCUACGCGCCUCUCCAACCAAGGUAUAUAUAUAUAUCUGGAUUUCGUGCCCCUCUAAUAGGUUAGUCCAUAGAAUCCGCCCACUGCAGCAUGAUAAGCCCACCAUAUAAUAAAAUUUUAACAACAUGACAAGGCUAAUAUAAUACUACCCAGCCUACAAGGGUAAAAUAAAACAAUUCAUACAAUUCAUAAACACAACCCAACUAGUCAUGCCAACACAAUAACAAUAUAACAUAAGCCAUCAAUUUCCAAUCAUAAAUUUACAACAUACCGGUGGUCUCCAAUUACUCUAUUUUCAAAAUCGUUAUUCAAUUUCAAGACAAUUUAUAAAAUCUUUUCAUGUAAACACAUUUUGUUUGUAAAACACAAAAAUUUACCAUUUAAACUCAUUUUCACAAAAUUUCACCAAAAUCGAUUAAAAACAUAUUUUAGAUAAUUAAAUGAUGGUAAGGUUACUCAUAGUAUUAGGAGUUCGAUAUACUCCUAUUUUCGAUCUUCGGGCACAAUCUCUUGACCCUUGUUAGAAGGCUCACCACCUAUACAUCAUACGUGACACGAAUUUCAAUAAAUUGUGUCAAUUUAUCAUAAACUAUUUCAGGCUCUCUAAAUCUAAAUGAAUGCAUGCGAUGGGAUGCAAAAUGUCUGAUUAAUCACUUAAAUGUGAUAUUCAACCUAAGUCACACUAUACUGGCCUAAUCGGCUAAAAUCUCCAAUUUAACUCCAAAUCAAUUCUUCUCACUUUCUACACUCCAAUUAUACCUAAAUUACCUCAGUGACUGUGAAUGAGAUUCAAUUUAUCAGUCUCGGGUUAAUAAUCACACAUGACUAUACAUUAGGUAAAAUUCAGAUUUUCCAACCAAAAUUUUUCAUUUAAUUUAUAGCCUCACCAAACAUCAAAUAUCACCCAAAUAUCAUGAAAUAUCAUCAAUUUCAGCCACAAAUUCCUCCAUAGAAAAUUUGGCCAAUGAUGGGUAAUGGGAGAAAAAUGAAUUUUUUUCUUGUUGGUUUGUUUCUAGAUAUGAUAAACUAACUAAAAACACUAACAUAACUUAGAAUCAAAUCAAUCUAACUUCAUUCUCUCUCCAUACCCGUUCCAACCAGCCAUGAAUUCACCAUGAAAACAUGAAAUCUAACCAUGGAAAAUGAAAAAGAAAGCAUGGGUAGUGUAAAUCACUAGUCAAAAUCAAGAAAUUUUACCUUUAUUAGCUUAAUCCCUUGAAAUCUCACACUUUGUCUUCAAUUUUUCCACUUAGGGUUCUUUUUUUUCCUUUCCUCCUUUGUUCUUCUUUGGCCAGCCAUAUAAUGAGAAAUGG